UACGAGGGGGCGAGCGUUGUUCGGAAUUAUUGGGCGUAAAGGGUGCGUAGGCGGUUUGGUAAGUCUGAUGUGAAAUCUAUGGGCUCAACUCAUAGUCUGCAUCGGAAACUGCCGGGCUUGAGUAUGGGAGAGGUGAGUGGAAUUCCUGGUGUAGCGGUGAAAAUGCGUAGAUAUCAGGAGGAACACCUGUGGCGAAAGCGGCUCACUGGACCAUAACUGACGCUGAUGCACGAAAGCUAGGGGGAGCAAACAGG
rnacentral:rRNA from 1 species